GUGUCAGCAGCCGCGGUAAUACGUAGGGGGCUAGCGUUGUCCGGAAUCAUUGGGCGUAAAGAGCACGUAGGCCGCCCGGUCAGUCCGCUGUAAAAGUCAAAGGCUCAACCUUUGAAAGCCGGCGGAUACUGCCGGGCUAGAGUCCGGAAGAGGCGAGUGGAAUUCCUGGUGUAGCGGUGGAAUGCGCAGAUAUCGGGAGGAACACCCAUAGCGAAGGCAGCUCGCUGGGACGGUACUGACGCUGAGGUGCGAAAGCGUGGGGAGCAAACAGGAUUAGAAACCCGCGUAGUCC
rnacentral:rRNA from 1 species